CUUCGAAUGGGAAUCGUAAGAAUUGGGCUGUGGAUAAAGGGUGCUCGAAGCCUCGAGGCCCAUGUGAGGCCACUCAGCCCAUCUAAUGGGGUUCUUCUGUUCCCUGCAGAGGGGAGGCCGAAGAUCAGAAAACAGAAAAGCAUUGGCAGAAAGUGAGGAGGAAAAAGUAGAAAGGCAGGAUCUUUUGCAUGCGCGCUGUGAGCGUCACGACGACAGGUCGGCUUAGCUUCGUUUCGCAGUAUUCGUGUAAUCACAGCAGUACCAGCUGUGACUAUUAAGCAGCUCGUAAUCUUCUGAGGUUGGCCUGAGCAGGAGCUUGUGAGGGAGGUCGAAUGAGUCUAUUCCAAAUGGUUAUGUUGCUCCCACUUCAGAAGUCAGAGUCUUUAGUUUUGCAGAGGUAAAAGUUGCAACAAGAAGCUUCAGAUCUGAUACAAUUCUCGGCGAGGGUGCUUUUGGUGGAGUUUUCAAUGGCUGCCUUGAUGUUAGGGGUCUUCCCAGAGCAAACGAAUGACUCCAAUUACCAUAAAAAAGUUGAACCCAGAGAGCAAGUAUUCAAAAAGUGGAAGGUUGUCAGGAUGUAAAGUGAUGAGACGCAAAUGGUUAAGGCAUAUCUGUUUUGGAAAGCAUAUUUGAGUGGCCGUCUGGGGGUGUGUGGAUGAGAAGGCAACCUGCUGCAAAUUUUUAAAUGUAGGAACUCUUCUUGCAUCCCACAGAAGGAAUUUAGGCCCUGCAUCAGAAACUAUUGUGACUUAUAUUAUUGCUUGUUAAGCUAAAUUCAGAGGAUGCCACUUCAAUAUACCUGAAACAUUGAAUCCCAAUAUGAGUUUUAUGACAUUAGAGCCACUUCUGGAAUUUCUCAACAUAGUUCUAGGAACUAAAACCAUCCUUAGUGAGGAUAUUUUAUUUGUGAAAAAAUAUGCUGGCCGCCCCUGAAAGUGAGGUGAAAUAAUUGUUUGAGUCCAAACUUAUGCUACUUUAGGAGACACUGAACAUAUCUAUCCUUCUUCAUGUAUCCUUGGAAGAAGGAAUACGAUUAUGUGGUUUCUUUUUCAUGAAUCGCCUGGUAAAAGGAGGUUGACAUGUUAUUAGCAUACGAGUCUUUUAAAAGGGAAAAGAUGAGGAGGGAAGGACUUAGCCUCGACAUAAAUCAAAUUUAGCAUUUGAAUUUUUCAAAAUUGAUCAUCACUCAAGAUGCUAUUGUCUUUCUUGGAAGGUGGACAUCAACUUUGCACUACACAAGAUGAGGGCAUUCUUUUCUCAUGUUACAUAUCAAAGCUUGUUUGGUUCUGCGUUUUAGAUGCUACAUGGUCACCCAUACAGUCAUCAAUCUCAUCCUUUAUUGGCUUUGCCGAUGCCAAAAUCGCUCGAGGGAUUUUUACUGGCUUUAUAACUAGGAUGAGCACUUUAGAUUUGCUUACUUCUUGGUUUACAUGAAUUUGAGGUUGUGUAAUUACAAAAAGGCAUGUGAAAUUCAACCCGCAUUUGUCAGGAUUUACUAUUGAACAUGAGUGAUGAUGCAUCAUUGAAUAUUUCAUCCCAGUUUUUAUUGCAGAUUAUUUGCUACCACAAAAAAUUUGUAGGGUGCAUCCACGGUAGAUGGCUCUUAGGGUGCCAUUGUGGGUUUCUUUAAUUUCUUAUCACACAAUUGGCCGUUCUAUCUCCUCUCUUUUUCUGUGGGGGAUGCCUGUUUGCUUUUUAUUCUGAAAAAAUAUGAAAUUAUGAGGUUUUGCCCUAUUUUGGUAUGAAAGUAUUAACGUCUUGUGGUCAUUGGUGAACUUCCUGGGCAGCUUAUCUCGUCCAAACAUUGUCAGGCUAAUGGGAUACUGUUUGGAGGAUAAAGAACUACUUCUUGUCCAUGAGUUCAUGCCAGAGGUUAUUCUAAAGAACCACCACUUUGGAAGUUAUGUUCUUUCUUUGAUAAUAUAUACAUGCUUGCCUUAAAUUUAUUGCAAAUAUGGUCUUUUGUUGUUUCAAUGUACUACACAAACAUAUGUCUUUCCUGCUGCAGGGGGGCUCGGCCAUUGAACCACUUCCAUGGUGAAAGGCCUCACGUUCUUGCACCUGUUAGGCAGGCUAAUAAUCUGCAGACAUAUCAAUCCCCCAAACAUAUUGCCGGACUGAGUUUUCACAUAUAACACAGGAG